UCUGAAACAACACUUCAGCAGUAUUAUCAUGGAAAAUUAAAGGCUUGUUUUCAUUGCCUGACAAAGCAAAUGGCACAUGGAAUAUAUCAUCCAAUUUGUUGGCUGGAGAGCAGACACUAUUUUUGGUAGUUUGAGCUAACGGCAAGCAGGGAUUGACCGAAUGUUCUACGUGGGUUAUUAGAUACUGAACCAGAUCUCCUGAGACCCAAUGAUAUGAUUAACCACACCGUUUCCACUCUUUCUGGAUGGCCCCGCCCAAGUUUGGCGCUACGAAACUGGGAGCCUGUUAAAUCAAAGAAGAAAUUACACCAAGCGAAAACACUGACGCAGCCUUCUUAAAAUAGAGGCAUGCAUUCUUUUUCCUUGGCGGAUUGCUCUUGCAACUCUUCCCUGAAAGCGAGAAACCAGCCGAGAUCCCGUC